GAUGAACGCUGGCGGCGUGCCUAAUACAUGCAAGUCGAGCGAACGGACGAGAAGCUUGCUUCUCUGAUGUUAGCGGCGGACGGGUGAGUAACACGUGGAUAACCUACCUAUAAGACUGGGAUAACUUCGGGAAACCGGAGCUAAUACCGGAUAAUAUUUUGAACCGCAUGGUUCAAAAGUGAAAGACGGUCUUGCUGUCACGUAUAGAUGGAUCCGCGCUGCAUUAGCUAGUUGGUAAGGUAACGGCUUACCAAGGCAACGAUGCAUAGCCGACCUGAGAGGGUGAUCGGCCACACUGUAACUGAGACACGGUCCAGACUCCUACGGGAGGCAGCAGUAGGGAAUCUUCCGCAAUGGGCGAAAGCCUGACGUAGCAACGCCGCGUGAGUGAUGAAGGUCUUCGGAUCGUAAAACUCUGUUAUUAGGGAAGAACAUAUGUGUAAGUAACUGUGCACAUCUUGACGGUACCUAAUCAGAAAGCCACGGCUAACUACGUG
rnacentral:rRNA from 1 species